AGAGUUUGAUCAUGGCUCAGAUUGAACGCUGGCGGCAGGCCUAACACAUGCAAGUCGAGCGGAUGAAGGGAGCUUGCUCCUGGAUUCAGCGGCGGACGGGUGAGUAAUGCCUAGGAAUCUGCCUGGUAGUGGGGGAUAACGUCCGGAAACGGGCGCUAAUACCGCAUACGUCCUGAGGGAGAAAGUGGGGGAUCUUCGGACCUCACGCUAUCAGAUGAGCCUAGGUCGGAUUAGCUAGUUGGUGGGGUAAAGGCCUACCAAGGCGACGAUCCGUAACUGGUCUGAGAGGAUGAUCAGUCACACUGGAACUGAGACACGGUCCAGACUCCUACGGGAGGCAGCAGUGGGGAAUAUUGGACAAUGGGCGAAAGCCUGAUCCAGCCAUGCCGCGUGUGUGAAGAAGGUCUUCGGAUUGUAAAGCACUUUAAGUUGGGAGGAAGGGCAGUAAGUUAAUACCUUGCUGUUUUGACGUUACCAACAGAAUAAGCACCGGCUAACUUCGUGCCAGCAGCCGCGGUAAUACGAAGGGUGCAAGCGUUAAUCGGAAUUACUGGGCGUAAAGCGCGCGUAGGUGGUUCAGCAAGUUGGAUGUGAAAUCCCCGGGCUCAACCUGGGAACUGCAUCCAAAACUACUGAGCUAGAGUACGGUAGAGGGUGGUGGAAUUUCCUGUGUAGCGGUGAAAUGCGUAGAUAUAGGAAGGAACACCAGUGGCGAAGGCGACCACCUGGACUGAUACUGACACUGAGGUGCGAAAGCGUGGGGACAAACAGGAUUAGAUACCCUGGUAGUCCACGCCGUAAACGAUGUCGACUAGCCGUUGGGAUCCUUGAGAUCUUAGUGGCGCAGCUAACGCGAUAAGUCGACCGCCUGGGGAGUACGGCCGCAAGGUUAAAACUCAAAUGAAUUGACGGGGGCCCGCACAAGCGGUGGAGCAUGUGGUUUAAUUCGAAGCAACGCGAAGAACCUUACCUGGCCUUGACAUGCUGAGAACUUUCCAGAGAUGGAUUGGUGCCUUCGGGAACUCAGACACAGGUGCUGCAUGGCUGUCGUCAGCUCGUGUCGUGAGAUGUUGGGUUAAGUCCCGUAACGAGCGCAACCCUUGUCCUUAGUUACCAGCACCUCGGGUGGGCACUCUAAGGAGACUGCCGGUGACAAACCGGAGGAAGGUGGGGAUGACGUCAAGUCAUCAUGGCCCUUACGGCCAGGGCUACACACGUGCUACAAUGGUCGGUACAAAGGGUUGCCAAGCCGCGAGGUGGAGCUAAUCCCAUAAAACCGAUCGUAGUCCGGAUCGCAGUCUGCAACUCGACUGCGUGAAGUCGGAAUCGCUAGUAAUCGUGAAUCAGAAUGUCACGGUGAAUACGUUCCCGGGCCUUGUACACACCGCCCGUCACACCAUGGGAGUGGGUUGCUCCAGAAGUAGCUAGUCUAACCGCAAGGGGGACGGUUACCACGGAGUGAUUCAUGACUGGGGUGAAGUCGUAACAAGGUA
rnacentral:rRNA from 1 species